GCGAAAACUUUGCAAUGUGCGAAAGCACGACAAGGUUAAUCCGAGUGGUUUCUGCUAAAGAAACCUUUUGCUAGUCCUAGAAACACUAGUGAAUAAGGGGUGGGCAAGUUCUGGUGUCAGCCGCCGCGGUAAAACCAGCACCUCAAGUGGUCAGGAUGAUUAUUGGGCCUAAAGCAUCCGUAGCUCGUUUUGUAAGUUUUCGGUUAAAUCCAUACGCUUAACGUAUGGGCUGCCGGGAAUACUGCAUAACUAGGAAGUGGGAGAGGGUAGACGGUACUCGGUAGGAAGGGGUAAAAUCCUUUGAUCUAUUGAUGACCACCUGUGGCGAAGGCGGUCUACCAGAACACGUUCGACGGUGAGGGAUGAAAGCUGGGGGAGCAAACCGGAUUAGAUACCCGGGUAGUCCCAGCUGUAAACUAUGCAAACUCAGUGAUGCAUUGGCUUGUGGCCAAUGCAGU
rnacentral:rRNA from 1 species